AACGUAGGUUCCGAGCGUUAUCCGGAUUUACUGGGCGUAAAGCGCGUUCAGGCGGUUUGGCAAGUCGGGCAUGAAAUCUCUCGGCUCAACCGGGAGAGGUUGUCCGAUACUUCCAGACUUGAGGGCAGUAGAGGGUGGUGGAAUUCCGGGUGUAGUGGUGAAAUGCGUAGAUAUCCGGAGGAACACCAGUGGCGAAAGCGGCCACCUGGACUGCACCUGACGCUGACACGCGAAAGCUAGGGGAGCGAAUGGG
rnacentral:rRNA from 1 species